AAGCCAGCUUUGCCCCCCUUGGGACCCCCCUCGGCCGGCCCUGGGGGGGGGUCUCUGGCACCGGGGGGGGUCCUCGCCCUGCAGCCAGGGGGGGCCGCCCCUGCCCCAAAGAGGGGCACAGGGACAGCGGUGGCACUGCCCUCCCCUCCCCCAGGCCAUGCCGUGUGGCCGUGCUGCCAUCUAGCGACACCCAGCACAGCGAGAUGGGGGGGGGGGUUGACCCCAGAGCCCCCCUGAAGAGGCCAGGGGUGGCUGGGGGCGAGGUGGCAGCGCUGGGACACCGGGGGGGGCGGGGGGGUGGCUCUGGGACACGCACACAGUGCCUGGCACAGAUGUGUAACGCCCUGUGGGUGGGCGACGCCUGGUGCACACGGAAGGGGCCUCAAAGCCCCCCCAGCCCCCCGCCAUGGGCAGGGUGCCCCCCACCACAUCAGGGUGCCCAAGGUCCCGUCCGGCCUGGCCUUGGGCACCUCAGGGAUGGGGCAGCCACAGCUCCUCUGGGCAGCCUGCGCCAGGCCUCGCCGCCCUCACCGUGACAAAUUUCCUCCUAAGGGCUAGCUUGAAUCUGUUCUCGUUGAGUUUAACGCCAUUCCCUUGCCCUGUCAUCAUCUACCUGAGUAAAGAGUCCUCGUCCAUCUUUUUUAUAAGACCUCUUUAGGUAUUGAAAGGCUGCAAUGAGGUCUGCCUGGAGCCUUCUCUUCAUCAGACAUUUAAUGGCUGAUGCACACACACACACACACACACACAUGCAAUGCCCAGCACGGACACAGAAUGGCUGAUACACGCACAGACAUGUGCAAUGCACAGCAUGGAUAUGGGACAUGGAAAAGCCAAUGCACACACACAGACAUGUGCAAUACCCAGCAUGCAAAGGCCAAUGUACACAAACGUGCAAUGCUCAGCAUGGUCAUGGAAAGGCUGAUGCACACACACAGAAUACCCAGCAUGGAUGUGCAAUGGCUGAUGCACACACAUGUGCAAUGCCCAGCACAGACAUGGAAUGGCUGAUGUGCACACAUACACGCAAUGCACAACGUGAACAUGCAAUGGCCAAUGUAUGCACACACACGUGCAAUGCCCAGCAUAGAUGUGCAAUGGCCAAUGCAUGCACACACGUGUGCAAUGUUUGGCACAGAUGUGCAAUCCCAGCAUGGACGUGCAAUGCCCAAUACAUGCACACACACACACACGUGUGCAAUGCUUAGCAUGGACGUGCAAUGCCCAGCAUGGAUGUGCAAUGGCCGAUGCAUGCACACACGUGUGCAAUGUUUGGCACAGACAUGCAAUAACCAAUGCACAGACACGUGUGCAAUGUCCAGCAUAGACAUGCAACGGGCAAUGCAUGCACACACGUGCAAUGCCUGGCACGGACAUGCAAUAGCCGAUGCACAGACACGUGUGCAAUG
rnacentral:lncRNA from 1 species